rnacentral:rRNA from 1 species
GUCCCAAGGGUUGGGCUGUUCGCCCAUUAAAGUGGUACGUGAGCUGGGUUUAGAACGUCGUGAGACAGUUCGGUCUCUAUCCGCCGUGGGCACAGGAGAUUUGAGGGACUCUGCUUCUAGUACGAGAGGACCGAAGUGGACGAACCUCUAGUGUACCAGUUGUCACAUCAGUGGCACCGCUGGGUAGCUAUGUUCGGAAAGGAUAAGCGCUGAAAGCAUAUAAGCGCGAAACCUGACCCAAGAUAAGAUCUCCCUACCGCAAGGUAAUAAGGGUCGUUGAAGACUACAACGUUGAUAGGCUGCAUGUGUAAGUAUGGUAACAUAUUAAGCUGAGCAGUACUAAUAUCCCGAACGACUUUAUCAAA